CAGCAGGAAAGGUUAGUUAAAUACUUGCCUGUAGCUCCUUCCAACUUUUAUGAGAAUUGUUUACAUAAUUCUGAAAGAUCUUCCUUCUUUGCUCAGUGAUGGUUAGACAUGCCUGCUGAGAACUGGGUGUCCUGUCCAUUAAUUUUCUGCUUGCAGAAUCUCACUAAUGAGCCAGGACUUGAGGAGAAAUAUAACUUUACUGAAACAGUUCCUGCUUCUUGGAAUAUUGUCCACAAACAAUUGAAUAGCUGAUGUCAGUUCAGUGAAGUGAAUGAUACAGUUCUUUUUGGUCAUCUUAUGUUGUUAUUAGGGUUGGGAAAUUGAAAGCAUAAUUUUAUAAAUACACUUCUUAAUAUUGUUUUGAGAAAAGUUGUAUAGUCAGUGGAAUUUUGAAAUGAUUCAAAAAGUACAUGCAAGUUAAUAGAAAGAUUCCUACUGAUUUUACUGGAAUUUGGAUCAAGCUUGUCGGUACGAAUCAGGAAUUUAGGGGAGCCUAAGCUGCAGUAUGCAGGAACUUAGUACCUGUAGAUAGUCUUCAGAUUUCCCAGUUAAUUAACUGUGCAGAUCAUUGCCUUGAAUAAUGCUGCAGAGUAGGACAGAAAUAAGUUUCUAUGAAUUUUAAAAGGAAAAAACCAAUCUCACAUAUAAAGCAUAUGGAUUAAAAUUUAAAGUAUUACACAGUUCUUGCAGAUCCCUUUUGGAAGGGGCCCAGUGGGGUGCCUCUCCAUCCUUUAAGCUUCAUAUGCCUGUUCUUCAGCCCGUCAUCCCUGAGCCGCCACCAGCCCUGCUGACCCACUGAGCCCUGCAACCAUCCCGAUCGUUCCAGAUCCAGCCUGUCCCUCACAGGCAGCCCGUCCUCUCCUCAUAAAGACCCUGCAGCCCCCAUCUGCCAGCAAAACCCCGUGUAUGAGAAGUGGGACAGGCCGCAUCAUGGAGGGCAGCAAGCAGGAUCGGGCUCACAUGUUGUGGAGGACGGGAGGCAGACGCAAGCUGACAAGAAAAUGGCUGACAAGAAAAUCUACCCAAGAGGUAUGUUUUCCAUGUUGGGAUAUUGUGCUUCAUCUGAUCCAAUUACUGAACUUCUCUUUUUCUAACUAGUUGUAUUUGCAAUGCAUUGAUUAUCAUGAUCAGUUUUACAACUUUUAUUUGAUGGUUGUGUAUUUCUGUUGUUUGAAAUGGUGCCAACUGCUGGCCGAGGAGAAGUAAAACCUCAGAAUUAACUGUGGCCACCUGGGAUUAUUCAGGAUCCCAAAAGAGAGAACUCUACUGUAAUCUUGACUUUCUUAUUCCCUGGAAAAACAAAACAGCCCACCUGUCCCCAAGGUUGUGCAGACUAGUUAAAAAAAAAAUAUUCCCCCCCGCUUUUUUUUUCUUUUGAGACAUUUACUGUUUGCCUCAGCCCUUCUUUCCCCUACUUAAAUCCUUAGAAAAAUGACAUAGUAUUUCAAACCCUAUAAAUGCAAACCUGAGUAGCCUUUAGGGGGGAAAAAAUAAAAUAAUAAUAACAAUAAUAAUAAAAGUUAAA
rnacentral:lncRNA from 1 species